rnacentral:rRNA from 1 species
AGAACGAACGCUGGCGGCACGCCUAACACAUGCAAGUCGAACGAGACCCCGACUUCGGUCGGACGUCUAGUGGCGCACGGGUGCGUAACGCGUGGGAAUCUGCCCUUGGGUUCGGGAUAACAGUUGGAAACGACUGCUAAUACCGGAUGAUGACUUCGGUCCAAAGAUUUAUCGCCCAGGGAUGAGCCCGCGUAGGAUUAGCUUGUUGGUGAGGUAACGGCUCACCAAGGCGACGAUCGGUAGCC